UACGUAGGGGGCAAGCGUUAUCCGGAUUUACUGGGUGUAAAGGGAGCGUAGGCGGUUUAGCAAGUCAGAAGUGAAAGCCCGGGGCUCAACUCCGGGACUGCUUUUGAAACUGUUGAACUAGAUUGCAGGAGAGGUAAGUGGAAUUCCUAGUGUAGCGGUGAAAUGCGUAGAUAUUAGGAGGAACACCAGUGGCGUAGGCGGCUUACUGGACUGUAAAUGACGCUGAGGCUCGAAAGCGUGGGGAGCAAACAGG
rnacentral:rRNA from 1 species